rnacentral:sRNA from 1 species
UCCCUCCCAAAGCUACAUGCUCCCUUGCUCCCUCAAAGAGGAUGGCGACCCUAGAUGGAGAAGGAUGAUUUCCUCAGGUCAAGUGUAUGCGAGUAGUUGUACUCCUGUGCUAUAAGCUCUGAAUGAGCACUCAAGAAAUAAGUGCUGUUUUUCAGGGAUUUAAACAAUUAAAAUAUAUAUACAUAUAUAUACUAUAUAUACUAU